rnacentral:rRNA from 1 species
UACGGGGAGAGCAAGCGUUGUUCGGAUUUACUGGGCGUAAAGGGCGCGUAGGCGGCCACCGCAAGUCGACUGUGAAAUCUCCGGGCUUAACCCGGAAAGGUCAGCCGAUACUGCGGGGCUAGAGUGCAGAAGGGGCAACUGGAAUUCUCGGUGUAGCGGUGAAAUGCGUAGAUAUCGGGAGGAACACCUGUGGCGAAAGCGGCGCACUGGACCACAACUGACGCUGAGGCGCGAAAGCUAGGGGAGCAAACAGG